AGAGUUUGAUUCUGGCUCAGGAUGAACGCUGGCGGCGUGCUUAACACAUGCAAGUCGAACGAGGUCCAACCUUCGGGUGAAGACCGAGUGGCGAACGGGUGAGUAACACGUGGGGAACCUGCCCUUCUCUCUGGGAUAACCUCGGGAAACCGAAGCUAAUACCGGAUACCCCUUGCGGACCGCAUGGUCUGCUCGGGAAAGCUCCGGCGGAGAAGGAUGGCCCCGCGGCCCAUUAGCUUGUUGGUGGGGUAACGGCCCACCAAGGCGACGAUGGGUAGCCGAGCUGAGAGGCUGAUCGGCCACACUGGGACUGAGACACGGCCCAGACUCCUACGGGAGGCAGCAGUGGGGAAUCUUGCGCAAUGGGCGAAAGCCUGACGCAGCAACGCCGCGUGCGGGAUGAAGGCUCUCGGGUCGUAAACCGCUUUCAGCAGGGAUGAAAAUGACAGUACCUGCAGAAGAAGCCCCGGCUAAAUACGUGCCAGCAGCCGCGGUAAUACGUAUGGGGCAAGCGUUAUCCGGAUUCAUUGGGCGUAAAGCGCGCGUAGGCGGCUUGUUAAGUCAGGCGUGAAAUCCGGGGGCUCAACCCGCGGCUUGCGUCUGAAACUGGCAGGCUUGAGUCUGGUAGAGGAAAGUGGAAUUCCUGGUGUAGCGGUGAAAUGCGCAGAUAUCAGGAGGAACACCAGUGGCGAAGGCGGCUUUCUGGGCCACGACUGACGCUGAGGCGCGAAAGCUAGGGGAGCGAACAGGAUUAGAUACCCUGGUAGUC
rnacentral:rRNA from 1 species